GUCCUGGGGGGGUUCUGAGGGGGUCCUGGGGACACCCAGGUUAACAAGGUGAGGUCUGGGGGGGUCCUGGGGGGCUCCUGGGGUCACUGAGGCGACAACUUGGGGUGCACUGAGGCUCUGCAGGGCCCUGAACCCCCAUUUUGGGCUUUUAUUGUCCCUUUAUUGUCCUUUUAUUGUCCCUUUAUUAUCCUUUUAUUAUCCUUUUAUUGUCCCUUUUUGUACUUUUUUAUCCUUUUUUUGUCGCAUUUUCAUCCCUUUUUGCCCAUUUUUGCCCCUUUUUGUCCCUUUUUGUCCCUUUUUGCCCAUUUUUGUCCCUUUUUGUCCCUUUUUGUCUUUUUUUGUCUCAUUUCUACCCCAUUUUGUCCCAUUUUUGUCCAUUUCCAUCCCAUUUUUACCCCUUUUUUGUCCAUUUUUGUCCGUUUUUAUCCCAUUUUUGUCUGAUUUUUGCCCCAUUUUGUCUCAUUUUUGUCACAUUCCCAUUUUUGUCCCUUUUUUUCCCAUUUUUAUCCCAUUUUUGUCCCAUUUUUUCCCAUUUUUGUCACUUUUUGUCUCAUUUCUGUCCCAUUUUUUUCCAUUCUUGUCACUUUUUGUCCAUUUUUGUCCCUUUUUAUCUCAUUUUUCCCCUUUUUGUCCCAUUUUUGUCCAUUUUUGUUCAUUUUCAUCCCAUUUUUUCCCCUUUUUAUCCCAUUUUUGUCCCAUUUCUGCCCCAUUUUGCCUCAUUUUUGCCACUUUCUACCCCAUUUUUGUCACUUUUUAUCCAUUUUUGUCACUUUUUAUCCAUUUUUGUCACUUUUUGUCUCAUUUCUGUCCCAUUUUGUCUCAUUUUUGUCACUUUUUUCCCUUUUUUGUCCAUUCUUGUCCAUUUUUGUCCCUUUUUGUCCCUUCUUUCCCCAUUUUUGUCCAUUUUUGUCACUUUUUAUCCCAUUUUUGUCCAUUUUCAUCCCAUUUUUCCUCUUUUUGUCCCAUUUUUGUCACUUUUUGUUUCAUUUCUGUCCCAUUUUUUUCCAUUUUUGUCCCAUUUUGUCCCAUUUUUUCCCCUUUUUUUCCCUUUUUUGCCCUUUUUUGCCCUUUUUUACCCUUUUUAUCCAUUUUUGUCCCAUUUUUGUCAUUUUUUGUCUCAUUUCUGUCCCAUUUUUUUCCAUUUUUUUCCCUUUUUAUCCAUUUUUGUCACUUUUUACCCCAUUUUUCCCCUUUUUGUCCCAUUUUUGUCCCUUUUUGUCCCUUUUUAUCCAUUUUUAUCCCAUUUUUGUCACUUUUUGUCUCAUUUCUGCCCCAUUUUGUCCCAUUUUUGUCACUUUUUUUCCCUAUUUUUCCUUUUUUGCCCUUUUUUGUCCCUUUUUGCCCAUUUUUGUCCCUUUUUGUCCCUUUUUAUCAUAUUUUUAUCCCAUUUUUGUCACUUUUUGUCUCAUUUCUGUCCCAUUUUUUUCCAUUUUUGUCCCUUUUUGUCCCAUUUUUGUCACUUUUUUCCCCUUUUUUUCCCUUUUUUGCACUUUUUUGUCCUUUUUUGUCCAUUUUGACCCCAUUUUGUCCCAUUUUUGUCACUUUUUAUCCCUUUUUUUGCCCUUUUUUGCCCAUUUCUGUCCCAUUUUUGUCACUUUUUGUCCCUUUUUGCCCAUUUUUGCCCAUUUUUGUCACUUUUUGUUUCAUUUCUGCCCCAUUUUGUCCCAUUUUUGUCACUUUUUUUCCCUUUUUGUCCCUUUUUUUCCCUUUUUUUCCCAUUUUUGUCACUUUUUUCCCAUUUUUGUCACUUUUUGUCUCAUUUCUGUCCCAUUUUUGUCACUUUUUGCCCUUUUUUGUCCCUUUUUAUCCAUUUUUGUCCCAUUUUUGGCACUUUUUGUCUCAUUUCUGUCCCAUUUUUUUCCAUUUUUGUCCCAUUUUGUCCCGUUUUUGUCACUUUUUACCCCAUUUUUCCCCUUUUUGUCCCUUUUUAUCCAUUUUUGUCCCAUUUUUGUCACUUUUUUUCUCAUUUCUGUCCCGUUUUUGUCCCUUUUUUCCCUUUUUUGUCACUUUUUCUCUCAUUUCUGCCCCAUUUUGUCCCAUUUUUGUACCUUUUUGCCCAUUUUUGUCCCUUUUUGCCCAUUUUUGUCCCUUUUUUUGCCCUUUUUUUCCCUUUUUUGUCCCAUUUUUGUCCCUUUUUGUCCCUCUUUUUCCCAUUUUUGUCCCUUUUUGCCCAUUUUUGUCCCUUUUCACCCCAAUUUCCCCCCAGGUCGGGCUGUUCACGGAGAUCGGGCCGAUGUCCUGCUUCAUCUCGCGCCACGUGAGACCCCAAAAGUGUCCCCAAGGGGGGGGGACACCCCA
ensembl:lncRNA